UACGUAGGGGGCGAGCGUUACCCGGAUUUACUGGGCGUAAAGCGCGUGUAGGCGGCUGGUCAAGCGUGGUGUGAAAUCUCCCGGCUCAACCGGGAAACUGCAUUGCGAACUGGCCUGGCUGGAGUGCAGGAGAGGGCAGUGGAAUCCCCGGUGUAGCGGUGAAAUGCGUAGAUAUCGGGGGGAACACCAGUGGCGAAGGCGGCUGCCUGGCCUGUAACUGACGCUGAGACGCGAAAGCGUGGGUAGCGAACCGG
rnacentral:rRNA from 1 species